rnacentral:rRNA from 1 species
UACGUAGGGGGCAAGCGUUGUCCGGAUUUACUGGGCGUAAAGCGCGCGUAGGCGGAACGUUAAGUCCGGUCUGAAAGCCCCCGGCUCAACCGGGGAGGGUGGCUGGAAACUGGCGUUCUUGAGGGCGAGAGAGGAGGGUGGAAUUCCUGGUGUAGCGGUGAAAUGCGUAGAUAUUAGGAGGAACACCAGUGGCGAAGGCGGCUUACUGGACUGUAACUGACGUUGAGGCUCGAAAGCGUGGGGAGCAAACAGG